GGAGCAGUGGUAGCUCGUUGGGCUCAUAACCCAAAGGUCGUAGGUUCGAGUCCUGCC
rnacentral:tRNA from 1 species